GACGUAGGGCGCGAGCGUUGUCCGGAUUUAUUGGGCGUAAAGAGCUCGUAGGCGGCUUGUUGCGCCAGCUGUGAAAACCCGCAGCUCAACUGUGGGCUUGCAGCUGAUACGGGCAGGCUUGAGUUCGGUAGGGGAGACUGGAAUUCCUGGUGUAGCGGUGAAAUGCGCAGAUAUCAGGAGGAACACCGGUGGCGAAGGCGGGUCUCUGGGCCGAUACUGACGCUGAGGAGCGAAAGCGUGGGGAGCGAACAGG
rnacentral:rRNA from 1 species